UAAUGCCUCAUCCUCAGCUUCAACGGGCCAAGCCCUAGUCUCGGCUAGGAUGAUAUUAGGGCUCAAGUAAAUAAUAGAACAACUAAAGAUAUUCGAGCCACUCAAGGAACUAGAGGUCAAGACUCUACGCCUCAAGGCCAUGGAGAUCGUCACGAGGAGAGCAACAUUCAACAUUAAACAUACAACACAUUAAUACCUUUAUCACUCUUCCAAGUUACAGACCUGUUGUGGAAUGGGAUGAGAUGGUGCGUUGUUUAAAGGCAAGCUAUUUGCAAUCCUGUGUUCUGAGGUAUAUCGAGUGCCCUAUGUCCUAUGCUAUUUCCAACCCUUGUUCUAAGAAUAUAUAACUAGUAACUAUGCUCCAUUUAUUUAUUUUUGGUAAAUUUAUUCAUGCUUCAUUUGUUUAGAAUGCUGAAUCUUAUCCCAAUUAAUGUGGAAUUUCUUAGAAUAAUAGUGUUGAUAUAGUGUAUUAAAUAGACAAAACCAAGACUAGCCAAAGGGUAAUUAGAAUUGCUAGAAGCAAAAAAAAUCACAGUUUUAAAAUUGCAUAUACUAGGCUAUAAGUUUCUCAAAGCUCUUGCUAUUUUCCCCUCAAAUAUAUGAUGGCAUUCAUGGUUAGUUUUAUGAAAUGAAAUAAUUAUUAAAAGUGAAAUUUUAUUUCUUUGAAAAUUUUUUGCAUCUGCCGGCACUGAGUAUAUUACUUGUUUUCACAAAGUGGAUAUUUUCUAGAUUUUUGGGCAUGUGGAUUUCUAAAAGAUUAUGGAUAAGUAAGAUUUUUUUUCUCCCGAACCCUAGUAUAGUUUUUAAUAUAUUUUGGAUUUAAUUCUGUGUUUCCAUCAAACAAUUUUUUUCUUCUUCCAAAUAACCUUAAGUUGCUAUCUUUUAAAGUGCUAUGAUUGAUUGAAGUAAUUCUUUACAUGGAAGUGAUUCUUAUCUUAGUGAUAGUUUAUGAAAUUGAUGGAGUGUUACUUUAAGAGCUAAAAUGGAAGUAGUCCGAGGAGAAUUGGAAGAUGCAAGAGUAGUUGGAAAUCACUUGGAAGAUUUGGACUAAAUUUUUCAUGCUUUAAAAAUUUGUAAAAUUUGUACAAGAAUGUUUACAUUACAUGCUUUCGAAGUUUGGGUUAAUGGAAAAUUUGACUUAAA